rnacentral:rRNA from 1 species
GACGAACGCUGGCGGCGUGCUUAACACAUGCAAGUCGAACGGAAAGGCCCUGCUUUUGUGGGGUGCUCGAGUGGCGAACGGGUGAGUAACACGUGAGUAACCUGCCCUUGACUUUGGGAUAACUUCAGGAAACUGGGGCUAAUACCGGAUAGGAGCUCCUGCUGCAUGGUGGGGGUUGGAAAGUUUCGGCGGUUGGGGAUGGACUCGCGGCUUAUCAGCUUGUUGGUGGGGUAGUGGCUUACCAAGGCUUUGACGGGUAGCCGGCCUGAGAGGGUGACCGGCCACAUUGGGACUGAGAUACGGCCCAGACUCCUACGGGAGGCAGCAGUGGGGAAUAUUGCACAAUGGGCGGAAGCCUGAUGCAGCAACGCCGCGUGCGGGAUGACGGCCUUCGGGUCGUAGACCGCUUUCGCCUGUGACGAAGCGUGAGUGACGGUAAUGGGUAAAGAAGCACCGGCUAACUACGUG